GGAAAGGCUUAUGGUGGAUACCUAGGUACCCAGAGAAGAGGAAUGGCAUAGUAAUCGAUGAAAUGAUUCGACAAGUUAAAAAUAAUAAUAGAUCCGGAGAUUCCCAAGUAGGGCAACCUUUUGUAUUGCUGCUGAAUCCAAGGGAAGGCAAGAGACAAACUGAAACAUUUUAGUAGAUAGAGGAAAAGAAAGAAAAAGUGAUUCUUAUCGUAGCGGUGACCGAGGUGGGAGAAGCCUAAAUCUUUAAAAUAGGGUUGUGGGAGAGAAAUACAAGCGUCGUGCUUCUAGGCGAACCAACCUAAAUGCUGAAUCCUAGAUGUCAAAAGUCCAGUAGCCGAAAGCAUCACUGUUUUAUGCUCUGACUCGAGUAGCAUGGGGCACGUGCAAUCCCGUGUGAAUCAGCAAGGACCACCUUGCAAGGCCAAAUACUCCUGGGUGACCGAUAGUGAAGUAGUACCAUGAGGGAAGGGUGAAAAGACCCCCAUCAAGGAGUAAAAUAGAACAUGAAAUUGUAAGCUCCCAAGUAGUGGGAGGAUCCAGGGAUCUGACCGUGUGUAUAUUGAAGAAUGAGCCGGCAACUCAUAGGCAGUGGCUUGGUUAAGGGAACCCACCAGAGCCGUAGAAAAAGCGAGCCUUCAUAGGGAAAUUGUCACUGCUUAUGGACCCGAACCUAGGUUAUCUAUCCAUGAGUAGGAUGAUGCUUGGGUGAAUCUAAGUGGAGGUCCAAAUCGACUAAUGUUGAAGAAUCACCGAAUGAGUUAUGGUUAGGGGUAAAAUUCCACUCAAACCUAAAGCUAGCUGGUUAUCCCUAAAAUGCUUUGAGGUGCAGUAGUUGACAGGACAUCUAGGGGUAAAACACAUUUUUGGUGCGGUCCGCGAGAGCAGUACCAAGUUGAGGCAAACUUUGAAUACUAGGUAUGGCCUUAAAUUUUAAAAAAGGGUCAAAGUCGGCUAGUGAGACGAUGGGGUAUAAGCUUCAUCAUCGAGAGGGAAACAACCUGAAUCACAAGGUAAGGCCCCUAAUAGAUGCUCAGUGAUAAAGGAGGUAGGGGUGCAGAGACAGCUAGGAGGUUUUCCUAGAAGCAGCCAACCUUGAAAGAGUGUGUAAUAGAUCACUGAUAGAGCACUCUUGCACCAAAGAUGAACGGGGCUAAGUGAUCUUCCAAAUUUGUGGGGUGUAAAAAUACAUCGUUAGGGGAGAAUUCCUCCUUUGAGAGAAGCUUCCGCGCGAGUGGUGGUAGAUAAAGAGGAUGCAAGAAUAUCGACUUGAGUAACACAAACAUUGGUGAGAAUCCAAUACCUCGAAAACUUAAGGGUUCCUCCACAAUGUUCAUCCACAAAGGGUGAGUCAGGGGCUAAGAUCAGGCUGAAAGGUUUAGUCGAUGGACAAUAGGUGAAUAUUCCUAUACUACCCCUUGUUGGUCCCGAGGGACGGAGGAGGCUAGGUUAGCCAGCAGAUAUUUAUUGGUUCAAGAACGUAAGGUGUCCCUGCCCUUUUUUUAGGGUAAGAAGAGGUAGAAAUUAUACCUCGAGCCAAUGUUCGAAUACCAGGUUCUUCGACGCUGAAGUAACCCAUGCCAUACUCCUAGGAAAAGCUCGAACAACUUUAAGCAAGAGGGUAACUGUACCCAAAACUGACAUAGGUGGGUAGGUAUAGAAUACCUAGGGGAGCGAGACAACUCUCUCUAAGGCACUCGGCAAUAUAGACCCAUAACUUUAGGAGAAGGGGUGUCUUUUCACAUCACAAAGGGGAUUGCAGUGACUAGGCUCAAGCGACUGUUAACCAAAAACACAGGUCUCCGCAAAGUCGUAAGACCAUGUAUGGGGGCGGACGCCUGCCCAGUGCCGGAAGGUCAAGGCAGUGUGUGACCUGAUGACAGGGGAGCCAGCGACCGAAGACCCAGUAAACGGCGACCGUAACUAUAACGGUUCUAAGGUAGCAAGAUUCCUUGUCGAGUAAGUUCCGACCCGCAAAAAAAGUGUAAUGAUCUGGGAACUAUCUCAGAGAGAGUCUCAGUGAAAUAGAAAUGUCUGUGAAAAUGCGGACUACCUGCACCUGGACAGAAAGACCCUAUGAAGCUUUACUAUUCCCUGGUAUUGGCUUUGGGUCUUUCCCGCGCAGCUUAGGUGUAAGGUGAAGAAGGCCUCUUUCCCGGGGGGUCCAACCGAUCCAUCAGUGAGAUACCACUCUGGAAGGGCUAGAAUUCUAACUUUAUGUCAGGACCUACGGGCCAAGAGAUAGUCUCAGGUAGACAGUUUCUAAAGGGUGUAGGCCUCCCAAAAUUUAAUGGAGGUGUGGAAAGGUUUCCUUAAGACGGAUAGAGAUUGGCCCUUUAUUAUAAUGGAAAAAGGCAGCUUGACUGCAAGACCCACCCAUCGAGCAGGGACAAAAGUCGACCUUAGUGAUCCGAUGGUGCCGAGUGGAAGGGUUGUCGUUCAACGGAUAAAAGUUAAUCUAGGGAUAACAGGAUGAUCUUCCCUAAGAGCUCACAUCGAUGGGAAGGUUUGGCACCUCGAUGUCGGCACUUCAUCACCUGGGGCUGUUGUAUGUUCUAAUUGUUGGGAUGUUCACCCAUUAAAAUGGCCCGUGAGCUGGGUUCUGAAUGUAGUGAGACAGUUUGGCCCAUAUUCAGUAUGGGCCUUAGAGCAUUAAGAGGACCUUUCCCUAGUAUGAGAGGAGUGGGAUGUUGCACUUCUGGUGUACCAGUUAUCAUGCCCAUGGUAAAUGCUGGGUAGCCAAGUGUGGAGUGGAUAAGUACUAAAAGCAUCUAAGUAGUAAGCCCACCCCAAGUUGAGUGCUCUCUUAUUUUGACUUCCCCAGAGCUUUCAGUAGCACAGCCGAGACAACGAAGGGUUCUCUACCCCUACGAGGAUGGAGCAACAAAAGUGUUUUGAGAAUUCAAGAGAAGUUCACGACGAGAUGAGCCAUUUAUCAUUACGAUAGGUGUCAAGUAGAGGUGUAGUGAUUUAUGCAGUUGAGGCAUCCCAAUAGACCGAUAGACUUUAAC
rnacentral:rRNA from 1 species